rnacentral:misc_RNA from 1 species
AACAUCGCGCACCUGCGGGAACCUGCGGAGGGAUCAUUAAUGUGAUGGAUGUGCUAGUCUUGACUUCUCAAUCCUCCUUUCAAUACUUAUUGCUAGGUGGGGGCUUAACAGCUCGAGAGGAAAGGAAACAAAAGCCCGUUUGGGUGUGCACUCCAAUACUAUCCAAUUUUAUUUUAACCUUGUGCAUUUUUGCCUACAGAGCAAACAAAGAGCAUCAAAAUGAUGCUUUUGAUUGUGUAU